AAUCUCAUAAAUAUUCAAAACAUGUACAUAUGCUGGGAGAUGCAUUAGUUUGCUUUUACAAACCAUUGCCAUUCUUCCCUUAGGCAUAUCGAUUCGCAAGAUCUGGUGCAGCUGCAUUACACUGGCAUUGCGGCAAUCUCCAUUCAAAUCAGUACCCACAUCUGCCCCAUUUUAAAAAAUCCAGUACAUUUUCCGUCAUGCACAAGAAUGCCUAGAAAAAAAACUAAUUAUCUUACUUCCUUUUACUAUUUGAUCCAAGUGAACAUCUCUGCUUUUCCUUCUCCCUUCUACAGAUCUAUGAAAAAAAAAACCAUUUCUGAGAAGAUAAAGACAUCAAAUUAUUACAUUUACCCGAUAAGUCCUUUCGUUUGAAUCAAACCUGACUUGCGCACCCACAUCAUCAUGAUAUCUUUCCAAUGUGAGCCACUGCAUCUCCGUAGCCCUCUACACUGUUUCUUGGUCUAGCCACUGAUUCUCUCCUGGACUUCUUCAUCUCUCUGUGAGGGCUUCGCACAGUUCUCAACAGGAGAGAACGCACGACUCCAGAAGUAGGUGCAGGGCCGCCAAAAUGGGACUUUGACAGAGCGCAUAGAAAAACAUGGAUGACAGAAAGUGCUUGCGGAGUGAAAGUAACAUUUGGCAAAAUCACAAGACAAAUUGCGGAGUAUGGAUUCGAAUCACCUAGCUGUCGAUAAGGGUUUUCAUUCGGAAAUGACGUGUUAGCUCACAGGCCUGGAAACACAACUAUAUUGCUGUACGCAUAAGGUUCCUGUAUGUGGAGAUUGCAUUUGCUUUCCUGAACACGGUGCUUGUGAGGUGAGGACAUAUGCAGAGUGGAUGGUUGAUUCCAGUUGCAGUUUCCUACCAAAAUGUAGCUUUUUCUUGCAGAUACUGACUCAUUCAAGUCGCUCUGUCACUCAGCUCGGCUGCUUACAUGUUUUGCAUAAUUCGUGCUUGCUUCUACUUUUGAAAGGAUCCUCAUCUCCAACUGGUUACACAUGUCCUUCAUGCAAAUCACAAGAAGGCAGUAUGGGGAAGGGGUACAAUGGAUCUCCCAAGCUUCACUUGCUGGCUGAUUCCAAGAAUCGAAGAAUACCUUGGUACUUAGGAGUCUUUGGGCUCUGUGUUCUGUUUUAAUUCUUGGGUUCCUGGAAGAACGCCAGGACUCCGUCAACAGACAUGGCCAAGACUAACUUGGGUGUCUGUCACCAUCAUCUUCGUCUGUUAAACUAGAUUUCGAUGCUCACCAUACAGUGGGGAGUAAUGAGAGUCUUACAGAAGGCAAAAUGACAUUUAAGCCUUGCAGCAUGAAGUAUAGUGAGUACACGCCUUGCCAAGAUCCAGUGAGAUCUCGUAAGUAUAGUAGAGAGAAGCUGAUGUACAGAGAACGCCAUUGCCCAGCAAAGAAUGAUGUCCUUAAAUGCCUCAUUCCUGCUCCUCCAGGGUAUAAAAUCCCCUUUUCAUGGCCCAGAAGUAGAGAUUAUACUUGGUUUGCCAAUGUGCCACACGGAGAACUUACGAUAGAGAAGGCCGUGCAGAACUGGAACCAGGUUGAGGGCGACAAGUUCCGGUUUCCAGGUGGUGGAACCAUGUUUCCUCGUGGUGCACAGGCUUACAUUGAUGACAUCAAUAAUUUGAUUCCUUUGACAGAUGGAUCUAUCAGGAAUGCCAUUGACACUGGUUGUGGAGUUGCUAGUUGGGGCGCGUAUCUGCUAAAAAGAAACAUUUUGACCAUGUCCUUUGCGCCAAGGGAUACACAUGAAGCACAAGUGCAGUUUGGUCUGGAACGUGGGGUCCCAGCUAUGAUUGGGAUCAUGGCUACUGAAAGGAUGCCAUAUCCAACAAGAUCCUUUGAUAUGGCUCACUGUUCUCGUUGUCUGAUUCCAUGGAAAGGAUAUGAUGGUAUCUAUUUAUUGGAAGUGGACAGGGUAUUGAGACCUGGUGGCUAUUAGAUUUUAUCUGGUCCUCCUAUUAAUUAGCAAAAACAUCACAGAGGUUGGGAAAGAACUCCAGAGGACCUGAAAGCAGAGCAAGAUGCAAUUGAAGAUGUUGCCGAACGUCUGUGUUGGAAAAAGGUUGUUCAAAAGGGUGACCUUGCCAUAUGGCAAAAGCCCACAAACCAUAUUGAAUGUGUAAAAAGCAGAAGUGUUUACAAGGCUCCUCAUAUUUGUAAAGACGACAACCCUGAUAUUGCUUGGUAUAAGAAGAUGGAAACCUGUAUAACACCACUUCCAUCGGCGGUGGGAGGGGGUUCCUGCCUGCAGGGACUAUAGCGGAGGCCUCUUUCACGAACUAGUGAUUAAUGCGAUGCUCAUGAACCAAUCAAAAAUCAUUGUUCUCAAAUAUUUUUACAUUUGCUAAUGUUCAGCACCCGUGAACUUGCUUAUUAGUUAAGCAAAAUAUUAUUGAUAAAUUUUAUGGCGUUUAACUAUUGGUGUUGUUUGCGGUGUGCAGGGCUUCGCAUUGUUCUCAACAGGAGAGAACGCCAAAGUGUCUUUAAUUAGAAUGCAUCUAUCAUUGUAUCCUCUGAUUCUUUGCUUCAUUUUCCAAAAUUCACGAAGCCUCUAAAAGAAUAUGCGAAAAAAUAAGGAUUAAGAAUCUGUGCUUCACCCUAUUCCUUUUUAACGAUUUUCAGUUGAUUUGCUGAAAUGUGUGCAGGAAACACAACUAUAUUGCUGUACCCAUAAAGUUCCUGUAUGUGGAGAUUGCAUCUGGUUUCCUGAACACAGUGCUUGUGAGGUGAGGACAUAUGCAGAGUGGAUGGUUGAUUCCAGUUGCAGUUUCCUACCAAAAUGUAGCUUUUGCUUGCAGAUACUGACUCAUUCAAGACGCUCUGGCACUCAGCUCGGCUGCUUAUAUGUUUUGCAUAAUUGGUGCUUGCUUCUACUUUUGAAAGGAUCCUCAUCUCCAACUGGUUACAAAUGUCCUUCAUGCAAAUCACAAAUAUGGCCCACAAAGAAGCAGUUUGUUAGUUCCGGUUCUUCCCUUGCCAAUCAGUUGGAGGAAUUAUUUGCGAAGAGCCAUAUUUUUAUGUUGGACAAGAAUUCUCUAUUGCCAUUAGCUUCUGAACUAUUAUCAAAUUUCUCUGAGCAAGGAUUCUCACAGCCACGUUCUGAGAUUCGAUCGACAGUUUUUAGUUUGUCAUCACAUCUUGCUGAAAUGUACACAGAUCCGAAGAGUCAAAAGGCACAGCAGAGCUAUAUUCCUAAAGAUCAAAAUGUAUUAGAGAGUGGGGAAACACUUAAAUCACCAAGAAAGACGAUAAAUUUUCACCUGAGAUUGAUAAGCUUUUUGUACAUUCCCAUGUCAUGGACGUAGAAUAACUGAUUUCUAUUUUAACUAAUCUUCAUAUUGUUAAUUUUGCAGGGUCCUGAAUGCAAAAGCUGAGAACAGCCAGCAAAUCCGGGAAAGGAUCAAUAGCAAGCAAGCCCACUGACACAAAAAUGAAAUCACACAAUUUAUUACCAUUGUACUAGUUUUGCACAAUAUCGUUAAUAGGCAGCCGACAUUUGGCAAACAUAUGUAAAUAUAUAUCUCUUUCUUUCACUCUGUAUUGUUGUGCUGAUGUUAAAUCGGUUGACAAUGUGAUAUGUCUCUUCUCUCCCCAUGACUUUGAUAAUUGAAUUUAUAAUUAUCUGAAAUCUGUUGUUGAUUAAAUCAAAACAAUAAUAAUAAAAUAGAUUUCGUCUUGC